rnacentral:rRNA from 1 species
AGAACGAACGCUGGCGGCAUGCCUAAUACAUGCAAGUCGAACGAACACUUCGGUGUUAGUGGCGCACGGGUGAGUAACACGUAGGUAAUCUACCUUCGGAUGGGGAAUAACAACCGGAAACGGUUGCUAAUAACCGCAUAAUGCAGCGGCACCUAAUGGUGACAGUUGUUAAAGCGGGGGAUCGAAAGACCUCGCGUCUAGAAGAGGAGCCUGCGGCGGAUUAGCUAGUUGGUAAGGUAAUGGCUUACCAAGGCUACGAUCCGUAACCGGCCUGACGGAGGGCGGUCGGUCACGACUGACACUGGACAUACGGGUCAGACUCCGUACGGGAGGCAGUCCAGGUCGGGUAAGUUUU